rnacentral:lncRNA from 1 species
UUAUUUCUAGUUAAUUUUGAGUUUACCACAAAAACAUAAUAAACAGCUGAAUUAUAUAUUAUGGUUUUGUUUAUGCUGUAUUAUUACCAUAUGUUGUAAUUGUAUCCUGAAAUUUUCAGUAUUGAGUUCUCUUUUAAGUUUAGCCGUUUUGUUUGAAGUAUGUCCACGUGGUUAAGCUUCUAAGAUCGGUUUGAAUAUUGUAGAAUAAAUUUGACAGGGCCCAGAAGUUUCUUUGUAGUUGUUGUUGGGAAUUUAGUAACUCAAUCGACAAGAGGAAACAAUUCUCAUAGAGAAUUUUACUAGCGGAAUAAUUGCAAAUGGUGGAAACCGUUUCUUGCCUGAAAUUCAGAUUAGUAUGUGUAAUUGAACUAGGUGGGGGCUUAAGGGAAUUAACUUUUCAUAACUUCUGUUAGAAAAAUAUAAAGAUAAAUGUGUAGCAUUUGUUAGACAGCAGGGUGUGUAUGCACCAGCUGAGGUACUGGUAGUGGUAUGGACUGUGUACACUUUACUCUCCUCGGACUCCACUUUAUAGGAAUAUUUUGAGUAUGUUGUUGUUGUUGUUGUUGGUGGUGGUGGUGGUGGUGGUGUGCAUGCAUCAGUUUUUAACGAGGGAUAUAUUGCUCUAAAUCACAAAGUUGAGGGGUAUAUUUCCCGUUUUCCCUUUUUCCUUUAAUAUAUAGAAACUUGACAUGUAUGUUUACUUGUCACAUGAGAGAGUAAUCAUUCAAUUAUAAUUGUGCUUUUAAGGAAGAACACAUAAUUAUGUUUGGGAUUUAUAGUAUGUAUAUAGUAUGUAUACUGUCAGUGUUUCACACUGCUAGUGUAUUUUAACCUAAUAUAACAUAACAUCAUGAUAUUAACAUGUCUUAUAUUUCAAGUUAUUUAUGGUGUUUACCAAUUGUCAUCGUUUAGGUAACCUAAUAGUUAUUUUACAGUGUCAGUAUAAAUAGAAGUUAAACUUAAGUUGCUCGAACUCGACUGCGGGUGUUCGGUAUGGGUGCUGGUCUAGAAGUCAGAUCUCCUGGAAGGAGAUAAAAGGAAAACGAGUGAUAGAAAUUUCUAAAACGAGUGAUAGAAAUUUCUAUAUAUAAG